UAGUUACUUGUUCCCCGGAUAGUUUAGUUACGUAGCCAAUUGUGGAACUUUCUUGCUAAAAUUUUUAAGAAUACUAUUUGGGUUAAACCAAUUAGUUCUUAUCAAUUAUAACGAUUAUCAAUUAACAAUCAAUUCAGAACUGGCACGGACUUGGGGAAUCCGACUGUCUAAUUAAAACAAAGCAUUGUGAUGGCCCUAGCGGGUGUUGACACAAUGUGAUUUCUGCCCAGUGCUCUGAAUGUCAAAGUGAAGAAAUUCAAGUAAGCGCGGGUCAGGGGAUCAGGGGUAAUUGCGAGCAGAGGGGGAGUAUUUUUCUUUAAUUCGUAAGUCAUAUCAUAUGGUGUGCGGAAGGGGAAUUUUACUCUGUAACUCACAAGUCUCUCCUUUACUCAAGUCGACUCAAAACCUCCUCGUGGUGGUCCCCGGUAAUGCUAAACUUGUUUAGCAGCUAAUUUGAGCGGCAAAACUUUUCCGAUGGGUUGGUUCCCCAGAGGAAAUUUAUUCAUAUUGGAACUACAAAUAGAAAUAACGAGCCUCGG
rnacentral:ncRNA from 1 species